rnacentral:tRNA from 1 species
ACUUUCUUAGCUCAGCUAGUGGAGCACAUGGCAUUUAACCAUGUGGUCGUUGGUUCUAUUCCCUCAGACGGUG